rnacentral:rRNA from 1 species
UGCCAGACUCCUACGGGAGGCAGCAGUGGGGAAUAUUGCACAAUGGGGGAAACCCUGAUGCAGCGACGCCGCGUGAGCGAUGAAGUAUUUCGGUAUGUAAAGCUCUAUCAGCAGGGAAGAAGAUGACGGUACCUGACUAAGAAGCCCCGGCUAACUACGUGCCAGCAGCCGCGGUAAUACGUAGGGGGCAAGCGUUAUCCGGAUUUACUGGGUGUAAAGGGAGCGUAGACGGCGGCGCAAGCCAGAUGUGAAAGCCCGGGGCUCAACUCCGGGACUGCAUUUGGAACUGUGUGGCUGGAGUGUCGGAGAGGCAGGCGGAAUUCCUAGUGUAGCGGUGAAAUGCGUAGAUAUUAGGAGGAACACCAGUGGCGAAGGCGGCCUGCUGGACGAUGACUGACGUUGAGGCUCGAAAGCGUGGGGAGCAAACAGGAUUAGAUACCCCCGUAUGA